CAAUAGCGUAUAUUAACGUUGUUGCAGUUAAAAAGCUCGUAGUUGGAUUUCUGGAGGGAGCGUCGGCCCGUAUUUACGAGUGCGUGACGCCUCUGUCCAUCCUUGCGGGAAGGCACGGCAUUGAUUUGUUGUGUCGGAUCGCAUCAUUUACUGUGAAAAAAUUAGAGUGUUCAAAGCAGGCUUUCGCUUGAAUACAUUAGCAUGGAAUAAUAAGAUAGGACUUUGGUGCUAUUUUGUUGGUUGAGCCUAAAGUAAUGAUUAAUAGGGAUAGUUGGGGGCACCUGUAUUGCGUUGUCAGAGGUGAAAUUCUUGGAUUUACGCAAGACAAACAGCUGCGAAANCGNNNGCCAAGGAUGUUUUCAUNAA
rnacentral:rRNA from 1 species